rnacentral:rRNA from 1 species
AAUUUGAAAUCUGGUACCUUCGGUGCCCGAGUUGUAAUUUGGAGAGGGCAACUUUGGGGCCGUUCCUUGUCUAUGUUCCUUGGAACAGGACGUCAUAGAGGGUGAGAAUCCCGUGUGGCGAGGAGUGCGGUUCUUUGUAAAGUGCCUUCGAAGAGUCGAGUUGUUUGGGAAUGCAGCUCUAAGUGGGUGGUAAAUUCCAUCUAAAGCUAAAUAUUGGCGAGAGACCGAUAGCGAACAAGUACAGUGAUGGAAAGAUGAAAAGAACUUUGAAAAGAGAGUGAAAAAGUACGUGAAAUUGUUGAAAGGGAAGGGCAUUUGAUCAGACAUGGUGUUUUGUGCCCUCUGCUCCUUGUGGGUAGGGGAAUCUCGCAUUUCACUGGGCCAGCAUCAGUUUUGGUGGCAGGAUAAAUCCAUAGGAAUGUAGCUUGCCUCGGUAAGUAUUAUAGCCUGUGGGAAUACUGCCAGCUGGGACUGAGGACUGCGACGUAAGUCAAGGAUGCUGGCAUAAUGGUUAUAUGCCGCCCGUCUUGA